rnacentral:rRNA from 1 species
AUUGAACGCUGGCGGCAUGCCUUACACAUGCAAGUCGAACGGCAGCACGGGUGCUUGCACCUGGUGGCGAGUGGCGAACGGGUGAGUAAUACAUCGGAACAUGUCCUGUAGUGGGGGAUAGCCCGGCGAAAGCCGGAUUAAUACCGCAUACGAUCUACGGAUGAAAGCGGGGGACCUUCGGGCCUCGCGCGAUAGGGUUGGCCGAUGGCUGGUUAGCUAGUUGGUGGGGUAAAGGCCUACCGAGGCGACGAUCAGUAGCUGGUCUGAGAGGACGACCAGCCACACUGGGACUGAGACACGGCCCAGACUCCUACGGGAGGCAGCAGUGGGGAAUUUUGGACAAUGGGCGAAAGCCUGAUCCAGCAAUGCCGCGUGUGUGAAGAAGGCCUUCGGGUUGUAAAGCACUUUUGUCCGGAAAGAAAUCCUUGGCCCUAAUACGGUCGGGGGAUGACGGUACCGGAAGAAUAAGCACCGGCUAACUACGUG